rnacentral:rRNA from 1 species
CAGUAGCCGCGGUAAUACAGAGGGUGCGAGCGUUAAUCGGAUUUACUGGGCGUAAAGCGUGCGUAGGCGGCUUCUUAAGUCGGAUGUGAAAUCCCUGAGCUUAACUUAGGAAUUGCAUUCGAUACUGGGAAGCUAAAGUAUGGGAGAGGAUGGUAGAAUUCCAGGUGUAGCGGUGAAAUGCGUAGAGAUCUGGAGGAAUACCGAUGGCGAAGGCAGCCAUCUGGCCUAAUACUGACGCUGAGGUACGAAAGCAUGGGGAGCAAACAGGAUUAGAUACCCCUGUAGUCCCUGUCUCUUAUAC